CGGGCGACCGGCGCACGGGUGAGUAACGCGUAUGCAACUUACCUAUCAGGAGGGGGAUAACCCGGCGAAAGUCGGACUAAUACCGCAUGAAGCAGGGGCCCCGCAUGGGGAUAUUUGCUAAAGAUUCAUCGCUGAUAGAUAGGCAUGCGUUCCAUUAGGCAGUUGGCGGGGUAACGGCCCACCAAACCGACGAUGGAUAGGGGUUCUGAGAGGAAGGUCCCCCACAUUGGUACUGAGACACGGACCAAACUCCUACGGAAGGCAGCAG
rnacentral:rRNA from 1 species